rnacentral:lncRNA from 10 species
AGUUCUGCGCUGUGAGCCGGGGCACAAAGAGCCCUCUGCACUAGCGCCGCAGGACCGCGGACCCGAGUUGGAGGCAUCUGUCCACCCAUGUGGUUCCAGACACGUUCAUGUGGCCACCAUGACCCCGUCGGCAUCACAGGGGUAACCAAGAGAGCAGCAAGUUCCUGGGACAGAGGAGACAGAAGGGAAUUUCCAGGUUCUUCAGGACGUUCACAACCACACUGAGAAGCAUCUUUGCAGAUAAGUAUUUAAACUUACCAGCCCAUAGCCUACCAGCCUGCCCUCUUCUGGUCUGUGCAGGAAAGUGUAGUAUCCUAGAAUGCCAAAGUGGGAGGGGAAAUGGGUGAUGUAGCUCAUUCUCUUUUCUACCUCUAUGGAAGAAAGAAAGAGCCUGUCCCCAUUUUGUGGGGUCCCAGAAAGGGUGAUUUUCACACUUCACAUUUGGCGUUAGGGCUAGUAUUUCACAAACAUUACCGUCUGGAACUUUUGAAGGCUGAGUUAAAUGACUUCAUCUUGUGUACUUGUAGAACUGCUAUUAGAAGGAGGCUGGGGACUCCCUGAUGAUGUGAACCAGCCCUUCUCUUCUCAGUUUCAGCACUUUGUGAUCAUAUUUAUAAACCUUGGACAGGGCUCCUUGGCCUUAGAGUUAAGUGAAGAGUUAACACUGUGACUUUAGAUGCAUUUUUCUCAGUGUAAGUGUCUGAGCUCAUCUCCAGUUCUGGACUCGUGCCCCCACUCCCGGGUGCUGACAGCAAGCUCUGAAGAUAUGCUGAGAGAGCUCCCUGACUCUCCUGACUCAGGAUGGGCCUGUGGGGUCUGUGUGGGGAAGGAAGGAGCUGGGAGCCUGGGCUGCCUGUGUGUCGGCUGGAUGCUGCCAGCACCGGCAUGGACCAAGCAACUUCUCUGAGCCAGAUGCUGGGGACGCAGAGGUGAACCCAGAGACAUGAUCCCAUCUGCUCAGAUCUUCAUGUCAGAACACGCUUUAUUACAGUCUCGGCAAGGGGGUGGCUCCAUCUGGGCCGCAUCUCCAGGACUCCUGGCCUGGACUUCUCUUUGGACCUCGGGUGACCUUGGAUUCUGGCCACAGUGACUUAGCGGUCAGACUCCGGUGGUUUUCUAGCCCGCUGGGUGACUCCCUGAAGAUCUCAUCCUCUUCACACCUGUUGGGAUGGAGCCUCCCAUGGAUAGGAACUCUUCCUGGUUGAUGCUCAGCAGAUGACUGAUCUGGCUCUGGAGGACAGCUCCAGGGGUAUGAGGGAGGCCUGGCAGCCCACUACUCCCUCCUCACCUGCUCGGGCCCUGCCUGCUGGGCCCUAUUGUCUGGGUCUGGGGGCCCUUUCCUGCCCCAUGUGAACUUGAUUCCUCCUCGCGUUUCUGCCGGUGACCAGACAGAGCCUGGCCUGGGCCAAGUCCCCACUGACCACACUUUCCCCAAGGCUGGGUCUCAAAGGACCCUACAGGAUGGGGACAGGAACAAGGAUGGGAGUCGGGGAGGGGCUGUCAGGCAGAGGGCAGAUGCAGCUCCUCGGGUGCCGCUGGCUGGAGUCCUUUGUCUCCAUUUGCUCAGUGCGUAAUUGUCAUUUUGUGGGGGACUUCCUUGGUGGGGCUUUUCCAUGCUUUUCCUCUCCCUGAUGGUUACAAAGAGGAGACAGUCAGGAUCUGGGAGGAGCUGGAGCCUUCCCCCUGUGCUGUUGAACUCUGGGAGGGGCAGCCAGAGGGGCUGAGAGUGCACCAUCCUGAAAAGAGAGGGUCUUUAAGAGAUAAGAUUUAGGCUAGGGAAAUUCACUAGAAAGAGACAGGUGGCCCUGGGUUUUUUUUCCUGCCAUCCAAAGGGAACCAGUCUUACCCAAAGGCUUAAGGGGUCACCUUAGCCCAGUCUCAGGACACUCUUCUCCAAUCAGAUCGCUGCUUCUAGUUGCACUGCUCCUGGAUUCUGUUCUUGGGGAACAGAAGGUGGCAGGACAGGCCCCACAAUCUGCAAUUCCAGCUCCCUCCAGAGGAGACAGUCCCAGCGUUUGCAAGAGAGCAGCUUGUGGCCUCCCUUAGGCAAGUUUAAAAGCCAGAUGUCCUUUUUCCCAGAAUGCGGAGUGGUGUGUACUAUUCAUCAGCUUGGGCUGCCACAGCACCAUGCCAGACUGGAUGGCUUAAACAUCAGGAAUUUAUUUUCUGCCAGUUCUGGAGGCUGGAAAGUCCAGAUCAAGGUGUUAAGACUUGGUUUCUGGUGAGGCCUCUCUCCUUGGCUUGCAGGUGGCACCUUCUCACUAUGUCCUCACAUGGCCUUUUCUCUGUGGAGAGGGACAGAGAGCAUGAGCAGGCUCUGGUGUCUCCUCCUCUUCUUAUAAAGACACUAAUAUCACCAUAUUAGGGCUUAAACCUAUGACCUCAUUUAACCUUAACCCCUUAAAGGUCCCAUCUCCAAAAACAGUCACAUAGCAGGCUACUGCUUCAACAUAUGCAUUUGGGGGAGGGGACACCAUUCAGUUCUUAACAGGGUGGUCACCGCAAACAUGGAAAGUCAGAGCCUUCUCCCCUUCAGAAUUCCCGCCCCCACCCAGGGAUGGGGAGGAGGAGCAGAGAGGUAUGGGAAGCAGACACGGAGAGUGGCAGGUACCAUGCUGGGGUGGCUCAGGAGUGCUUCGGAGGACAUAUGGAACUGGCAGGGCUCAGUGCAGGGAGGCGGAGGCCCUGGGAGAGCCGUGUCCUGAGAAGGGCCUGGGCUACAACCCUGGGCAAGUUACUUCACCUCUGAGCCUCCGAUGCUCUGUGAAAUGGAAGGAAUGUGCUUGCCUGUCAGGUGCAGGGAGAAUUCAGUGAGAUUGUGUGCCUAGCACAGUGCCUGACUCCCAGUAGGUGCUCAGCAAAUGCUCCCAUCCAUCUGGGAGUAUAGACUUAGGGUUUAUCUAUUUUUUUUUUUUUUUGGCUCUCUGGACUUUAAAACUCAGCAUCUUCUGAACCAGAGGCAUUUCUGAUUAGCCCUUCCCUACCUAUUUUCCUAGUAUCACUCUUUAAUCAGCUUGGGGAGGUGGCAGCAUUUCAUGGCCUCCGUAGUAACUCACAAUGCUUCCUGGGGUAUUUAAAUUCUACUCUCUCAUCAGCACUGAGCACCUACUUUGGGCCCUUUCCCGUGCUAGCCAUUUGGGGGAAAUAUAGGUGAAGAGUGGCUGGGGUUUGAACCUUUAGGAUUUCACAGCCAUGCUGGAUGGGAUAAAACCAGCUCACAUGGAGAAUCAGAGAAUGGGACAGUGCCACAAAACAGUCUACUGAGGCACAAGUUCUGAGUGCCUGGGAAGUGGUAGAGAGACCCCAGAGAGGGCUGCUGCAGUCUGGAACAGCUUCCUAGCAAGCUGUACCAAACAGGGCCUUGAAGGAUGAGAAAGAUCUGGCUGAGAUGAUACCCGACCCUCUAGGGAAAUUCUUAAAGUAACUUCUAGGAAAUGUCAUUGCUCCUUAAAAAAAAAAAAAAAAAAAAAAAAGCAGGUUCUAAUUCAAAUUCCGCUGCACUACUGAAGUAGUGCAGGACUUAUCAGAACCUUUAAAAUGCUAAUGGCAAUUUCAAAUACUCAGGGACAGGGCAUAGGAUGAAGUGUUCCUUGACUUUUAUGGCCGUAGAAUCUUUUUCUCAUGGAACAUCGUUUAGAACUGUGGGAGAUGCUAGGCUGGGGUUUCUAUGGGAAAAGUACAGCAGUGAUAGAAGAUGGCAUAAUUAGGGUACACUUAGGUGCUUUGUAGCAUUGGCUGAAAAGGAAGCAGACCGGGUGGGCGUGGGGGAGUCUCAACUUGGUUCCAGGAGCCAGGCCAGCUUGAUGCGUUUUUUUUUUUUCUAAUGGUGGGAGGGCAGGCCAAUAGUUGGAGAAACUAGAGGCCUGACAGUCGGUGAUGGAAGAGAUGUCUACUAAGCACGGUUGUCAGAUCUUUUGCGGAGAGAUGCGGGUGUGCGUGUGUCUGUCAGAGUGUAACAGGAUCCAGCCCUCUGGGAAGGGGCUGACCAGAACCAGGCAGGGGGUUUCUGUCUAGGACAAGUAGGGUCCAUUUUCAGGGGAGCUGAAAUAUUUGCAGGGGGUGCUCUGAGACCCACAGCCAAUAAAUAGGGAAGCAACAUGCUUUUGGGCAGGGUCCAUGUGGUUAGGGUUGAUUUUGAUGGGGCUGGGGGGCUUAGAGUUAGACCCCCUGCCCUGGUCAGGCCCCACUCCCUGGCUGGUGGGGGCGGGAGGCCUCUGAAGCUGCAGCUGGAGGGGCCGGGGCAGUGUUGCAUGGUGUGAUUAACCUACUAACCCAGGGCUCAGCCGGGACGCUGUGGCGUGUGACGAGGUGCCUGGCCUUCUGCCAACCAACUAACCCACUAACCAGGCCCGAGCAUGCCCUACUAACCACCCCCCCGCAGCCAGAUCCUACUAACUGUGCAGCUCAUGGGCCUUUCAAGGGGCUGGGAUAUGGGGGCAGCCAAGGCUCCAGAAGGCUCUGCCUAUGGGCUGGGAUCUUUGUGCAGACCCACGUUCCAGGACAGAGAAUGCAAAUAAGACUCACCAACUCUGCCACUUCCUGUUGAGUGAGUUUGAGUAAGUCACCUCACUUCUCUCAACCUCAGUUUCCUCAGUGGUAGAAUGCGAGUUCUGAUACCUUACAGGUUGCAGUGAGGAUUCCCGUCAAUAUAAGGGUCUCAGCACAUGGCAGACACCUAAAAAAAAAAAAAGUAUGAGGAUGGAGGAAGGCCCCUCAAACCUGGUUGAACACGUCUGCUGCCUAGGCCCUGGCCUCUCUGGGUGUUCUGCACACAGAUCCUUCUGCCUGGGGCAAGACACUUGGCUUUGAAUCCAUGUCACUUCCCCACAUUCUUCCUCCGUCUCAGCUUUCUUUUCUGUAGGCAGCUCUUUUGUUCGAUUACUAACCCGUCUAACCCCUGGGGUGCCUCAACUGCACCCCGAUCAUCCCUUAACAAACUAACGGACCUGCGUGCGUUCUUCCUUUUCUCUUAGCGACUCCUGUGUGUGUCUGCUGAGGUGCCCUGUCCGCUGGUGCUGUGCUCUGACUUACUAACCCAGCCCCUACUAACCCUGUUUUCUCUUCUUACUAACCCCAGCCCUGCCGAGCUCUGGGCUCCCCCCGGGGGCUGGUCCCCCUCCUUUUGGCAAGCAGAUGACCUGGGGCUACUGGCCCUGUAGACAGAUGUCCCACUUUGCUGCCCCAUAUUGGCUGUAAGAUCAGAGUCCACUGGGCCAGGUCUAAGGCAGGGGAUGGCCCUAUUAACAAGACUCAGAGGAGGAAGAGGUGGUCCUGUGGAUGUGGGAGGCUGGACUCUGAGUAUGACAUCUCUCCUAUGUGCAGAAGUCUGGUUGCCACUGGGAGUAGGUGGGACCAGGGAAAUCUCUGGGACGUGAGUGUGGAGGCCUGUUGGUCUAGACUCUAGACUGUGGAGCUCUGAGCUUUUGUGUCCUCUGGAAGGAAGCUGGGGAAGAAUCCUCUCCAUUGUUAAGUGACGGGGAUAGAAGCUGUCCUGCACAGGAAGUCACGAGGGGGGCGUAUCCCACGAGGAAGGCAGGAGGGGGCGUGCCCCUCACCGGAAAUUAGCAGAGGGGCGUGUCCCACACCGGAAGUCAGAAAGCGGAGCCUUUCUUACACCGGAAGUCAAUGAAGCGGGUCUUUCCUACGCUAAAAACCACUGAGUGGAGUAUUUAGUACACAGGAAGUCGGCCAGAGAAACAUUUCUCAUAUUUGAAGGCCGGAAAGAGGGACAUUUCUGACACCGGAAGUCAGUGAGAGGACUCUUUCCCACACAGGAAGUCAGCUAGAGAGCCGUCUCCCCUCUCUGGAGCCGAGAGAGGCCGGUUUCCCCCACCGUAAGUAGACGUGGGGCCGUGACCGGAAGUCCUUGGGAAAGAUCCGUCCCAUUCCCGGAAGCUAGAGGGCGUUAGUUGUCGGGUUGAAAAGGGGUGUGGGGAGGGGAAGCAGCUUUACCCCGGGCUCGGAGUUUGCAGGAGAGAGAAGUGGGGAGCAAGAAGUGAACCUCAGGGGCUCACAGGGUUCCCGCAGAUGCUCAGGCCGGCCAGGAAUGCAUCUCUGGCUCUCUGUUCCCACGGACGUCACUGCCUCAGCCAGCCUCCCCCAGAGCCCGCCAGCCGCUAAGCCGGGGCCACACCUGGGGGUGAUUUCAUGCCUCACCUCCAGUAGGCACCUUGGUUUCUUUGGGCUAAUCUCUGGCUCCCUUGCGCUAACUCUUGCUCUCACCCAGCUAAUCCCUGCCUCACCCUGACUGCCCCAGGGGCUGACCACUAACAACCAACCUGGCCCUGUCUGGGGGUUCCAGGCUCCUGGCCUGGCCCUGACCGGUUCUUAAUUAACCUUUCCUUCACCUUGACUAACUCCUGCCUUCCUGGUCUGUUCCUUUCAGCAGAAACUAAUGGUUUGUGGAUUUUUUUCUGACUAACAACAGGUCUAACAUUCCUCGUUACUGUUAACAGCUUGGAUGUCGGCAUGGCUGGGAAGGGGCUAACACAGCUUUGAACUUGGCUAACACAGGUUUGAACUUGGCUAACACAGGUUUGAACUUGACUAACACAGGGAAAAGCAUAGCUAACAAUUUUGGGCGUGGUGGCUGCUCUGAGUCAGAACAAUCAGAAGUCGGUAAAGAUGGUAGUUUUCUAAAGGAGGUGCCAGGGCUCUGGUGUGGACCAGGCCUGAUGGAGCAGUGGUACCCACCAAGGUGGGGUCAGAAGUAUAGCCAGUCUUGCAAGGUUUUGGCCAUUGGGCAUAUCUUCACUCCUCAUAGUCUGCAUUUGGUUUCAGUUCUUAAAAAAAUAUAGCCUUAUAGCUACAGUAGUUUGCACAAGUAGAUGCAGCUCUUAUAAACCUUAAAAUACCUGUCUGGUGUCUACAGAGCAUAUGCCAUUUUGUAUAGAGUCACCCUUCCCCAGGCCAGGGCCUAGAGUCUUCAUUUUGGGGACUUUGUGUUUUGGAAGUUCUAGGACAUAAAGCUUUAGAUCAGAGUAUUCAGAAGGGUUAUAACUCCGUCAGUCAUUUACAUGUUAGUAGUAUAAAUUAUCUGAGCUUCCUGUUCUAACUUUUAGCUCUUCUAGCAUAAACUCUUCUGUGCAAUUUAGCUGCACCGAGGAAACGGGAGUUUUUCUGGAAGGGACUUUUGAUCUCUUUAGACUGAGGGAACGUCCUUUGGGAGUAGAGGGGCAGGGAGCAUACGCAAGGGAUUCCAGGUGCAGGUAAAAGGUGGCACUAGUUCAAGGUUUUGCUGACUCAGUCUGGUAGUCAGAGUCUGCAGGAGAAGACAGUUCAAGGCAGGGCCUGGAGGAUUGGAUCAGUUUAGGGACAGGUCAAAGGCUGGCUUACAGACCUUAGAGGCAGGUUGCUUGGGUCGUUGAAUGCUAGUCUGGUGCUGAGAGCCCUUUUCUCUGGCAACUGUGGACUCAGAGCUAACCAAUUGUAGUUGGCAGUGGGGGUGAAGGGUGAUCCAGAGGCCUGAGCUGCAGAGGGCACAAGAGAGAAAAGAUGUCUUAGAAAGAGCUUUGAGAACAUGCCUUGGCUGCUGGCAGGGACCUUGGAUGGGGUAGUCUACACCCGGAAGUGCCUGCCUGCCAUCCUCUAGUGGCUGCCUUGCUCCAUUUCACUCAAAGCAGGAAGCUCACACCUCCUAUUCCUGAAACUCCUCUUUGUUUAACUGCAAAGACUUGAUGCUGCUAAGGAUCUACUAUGUGCCAGGCACUGCUCUGGGCGCUGGGACCUGCACCUGGGCUUUUUCGUCAUGGUGCUUUUAUAGCCUAGUGGGAGAGUUGGUGAAGUAGAUAGUGAUUCAGUGAGAUGGGUGUUAUGAUUGGUCAGGGGUCUGUGGGAGCACCAAGGAGACAGACAAGAUUGAUGUGCACCUACUCUGUGCCAGGCGUGUGCCAGGCAUUGGGGAUGUAGUGGUAGUUAAACACCAUUUGGUCUUCAGGAGCUUUAAUUCUAGUGUGUUGGGUGCAGGGGGGUGGAAUGGGGACAGAGAGACACCUAAUCCACCCUGUGGUGGCUUUCUGGAGAGGGAGGCAUCUAAGCUGAGCUGUGGCUGGGUGGAGUGUGGGUGGGGAUGAGUUCCGGGCAGCGAGAGUGGUGGACACCAGUUUCUGGGGAUCAGAGAGGAUCCAAAGAGGUUCUGGAAGGUUCAUGUGGAAUGUAGCAAGAGAUAGGAGACAUGGACAUGGUGCCGGGUCUGGUUGCCAAGAAGUUUAGAUUUUAUCCUUAGGCCUUGGGGAGCGACGGAUAUGAUCUGAGAAAGGGAGUUAGUGGAUUUGAGUUUUAGGCUGGCCAUUUGGCUUUUCCAGCCCAGGUGGAACUCAGAGGAGUUUGCAAUGGCCUCUGGCCACAUUUUAGACAACUGAGCAGAACUUUUUGAAACUAGGAAGACCCUUUGGUCCAUCUUUUGAUAAACAGAAUCCAUACAUGUCUACCCCAGUUGGAAGUAUCUCUGCAAUGACUGGAAAGUAAAGAGGACCAAGGUGAAAAUAAAGGCUCGGAAGGGGAGCAAUCUUGAAAACAUGUCAUCCCAUGGUGGUGGGAAGUCCCUGGAGAAGAUCAGGGGAAACACAGUCAUAGGCUGCAAGUCUAUAAGAUAAUUCCAUUGGGGAGGGAGCCCAUUUGUCAUGCAUGGCUGCAAGGGGCAGAUACAAGUGUGGAGUAAGCUUGCAAGAGCUGAUCCUGGUCCCAGAGAGGGAAAAAUAUGCCUUGGUGGGUAAUGAACCUUUUGUUCCCAGAGGCAGAAGGAUUGGGACUAGGCCAACAUAGAGAUUGGCGAUGGUUGUGAGAUUCUAAGAGUGUGUGUGCAUCUUGACAAUAUUAGAGGAGGCUGAGCCCAAGCAGGCACAUUCUCUUCGACCCCUCCCUCAUUCAGUCUGCUUUGGAGUCUACUGAACAUCAAGCUUGCUAUGAGCAGGAUCUUAGAGCUGAGGAAUUGGCCUCCCAAUCCGAACAGGUGUUAUAAUCCUUUCUUAAUAGGUUGUGCUGUGGACCCAAUGUGAGGGCUGUGCUGGUGUAAAUGGUGACAUGUUGAGCUGGGGGGAUGCUUUCGGGGUGGGGGGACUGGUUCCAUUCCAUCAAAGGCCCUCUUGAGAGUCUAUCCAGGGACCCAUUGUUUUACUUUAACAGACCAGAAAAGAUGUUUGUUUUCCAUGUCAUUACCCCCAGGGGAUACCGAAUGUGUGGGUAGAAAUUUCUCUGUAGAUUAAAAAUCAGAUUUUUACAUGGAUUCAACAAAGGAGCGUCACUUGGAUUUUUGUUUUCAUCCAUGAAUGUAGCUGCUUCUGUGUAAAAUGCCAUUUUGCUAUUAAAAAUCAAUUCACGCUGGAAACAUGACUGUGGCCUAUGAAGCAGAAGGGACGUGCUGUUUAGGGGAGAGGGGGCAGCCAGUGGCAUUCUCAAGGAGCAGGGGUGGGCUCUCU